rnacentral:sRNA from 1 species
CAGUUGUUGAAUAUAAUUGUUAAGAAUUUUAAAGAUUCAUCAGAAAAAUUCUUUAGUACAUAGUUUGAUAUUCCAUCUAGACCGGUCGAUUUUUUUCUAUUCAGACUUACAAUGUGCGUUUUUAUAGAUGAUACAAUUGUAAAGUGGUAGUUGUCUGAAUUGUGUAAUGAUUUAAAUCCAUCAUCAAAUGUGUAUAUAUGGUUAGCAAUUGGAGUGAAAUAACUUUGUAUUCGGGAUUCAAUGUUAGGUGGUGGUAACUCUGGAAUAUUCUCACAGAAAGUGUCGCUGUAAUAGUCAUGGAACGCGUUUGCGAUCUCUCUACCUGUAGUAAAAGCCACAUUAUAUAUUUGUAGCUGUUGGCAAAAUUGUGUUUUAGAUUUUCCAAUUAGUUUGCUGACUUGUUGGAAAGCUGAUGGACUGGGUUUUAUAUUUUUUAAUUUAGAGUUAAAAACUUUAGCCUGCUCUUUGUAAAGAAGGUCCCGUAUAAUGUCUUUGAGUAGCUGUAUUUGUUUGGACAAUAUAUUAUAUUCAAAAUUUGUUCUGUUGCCAUUUCGAUGAAAUAUUUUUUUAGGUCUUUUUGCCAUUGAUCUUUGAUUUUAUAAAACCUAUUUAUAUUUUCAUAUUUGGUGAUUGUUUACUUCAAUUAUUUUGCAGUGCUGUUUGUGUAUGUUAUGAAAGGUGGUAAAAUGGAUUCCAACGCAGAAUCAAACUGUCGACGAAACAUACUCCAAUCCGUGGACUUAUAAGAAACAACCACUCUGGGAGUUUUGAGGAUAAUACCACCUGUAUUGAAAGAAAAAUCCAAUUUGAGAGGGUAAUGGUCAGAAAAUGAGGGAAUACUGGUUAUUUUGUAGUUGCCUGCAUCAGAAUCUAUCAGUUUUGGGCUGACCAAAAAAUUAUCCAAAUAAGAUGGACCAUUAGGGUAUGAAGGAGAAGAGUCACAUAUUCGAGUAACGUCUGUGGCAAUAUCAAGCAACCAAUUGUAAAGUGUCCUUCCAUUGGUGUUGUCCAUUAUAUCACCCCAUGUCGUGUGUCUAGAAUUAAGAUCCCCUCCAAAAAUAAAUCCAUCAUAAUUAUUAGUAAA